rnacentral:rRNA from 1 species
GGUUUAAUUCGAAGCAACGCGAAGAACCUUACCAGGUCUUGACAUCCUUUGACCACUCUGGAGACAGAGCUUUCCCUUCGGGGACAAAGUGACAGGUGGUGCAUGGUUGUCGUCAGCUCGUGUCGUGGGAUGUUGGGUUAAGUCCCGCAACGAGCGCAACCCUUGAUUUUAGUUGCCAGCAUUUAGUUGGGCACUCUAAAGUGACUGCCGGUGCAAGCCGGAGGAAGGUGGGGAUGACGUCAAAUCAUCAUGCCC